UGGUUUGCAGUCGGCAUCUAUUCAUGUUGACCAGCAAAGUCUGUAUCGUCUUUUUCCUUAUAUCCAAACAAUUUGUGGAGCUCCAACCCAAUAGUAUCUGUUGCUGCCAGGAGCAAAGAAGGAAAGAAAACAGCGUGCUGUUUAGGCCCCAGGGAGCAGAUUGAAGGGUAAAUUGCCCUUCGUGCCCACAUCUUGUUGAAUUAAAAUGAGGUUGUCGACAAGGCCAUAUCCCAGACAAGAUGAUUUUGUCCGCACUAAGUGGUCCUGUGUGUGCGUGUAGUCAACCCUCAGAGUUUGAGGACAGAUGCCUCCACUCUGAUGAGCAGAUCCUCUUACCUGCUGGCAGCCUCAGAGCAUUCAUCUGUGCGGUGUCCUUUCAGCUUCAACAAUGUGUGUUGGGGAAGGUCUAGGAUCAUUCUGUUACUGAUUGAAAGAGCUUAAGUGUGGAGUUCCUGAAACACUCUUGGUUGUAGUAUCAGAAAGGCAGCCAUUGGGUGUCCUGGGUGAAGAGUACAGAAACAUGCUCAUUUCCCACAAACACUACUUACUGGGUGAUCAGCAGGUCUGGCCUCUGACUCAGUUCCCUCCUCCCUGAAAUAAGGAUGGCAGCAGGGCCCACCUUAUGAGGAGGGCGGAGCGUCCCGUGACGUCCAUGCAGGAGCUAGCUCAGGGCCUAUUUUCCUUAAUUAGACCAGCGGAAUUAGACCACGUAAUGUGUUUCCUGUCUCCGGUCUGCCUUUCAGGCCUCUGUGGUUGGUCCACAGUACAAAAGACCACUUAUAAAUAUCUCUCUGUCUUAUAAGAAGGAUCAAAGCUGUUCUAUAUGAGUUCGUAGUUUCUGUCUGGCUGAGUCUACUACAACAUUAAAAAAAUAAUAAUCUCAUUUAUCUCUUCUUGCAUUGUUUUUCCUUUAAGGCUUUCUCAGGCUGAGGACUGCUAGAAACGGGGUCAGAUAAAAGCUAAUCAUGAUAAGGAUUUGGAAAUCAGAUGAGGGGCAAGGAAGCCUCCCCUUUACAGAGUCCUGACCCUCUCCCCCCUUGGUUCUCAGCAGUGUGUUCUUCAGUUCAACACUAGGGUACGAGAGAAAUGAGUGGAACCAGCUCUGUGAGCAAGGUCACCCAACAGCAUCAUGAGAUAAUGACAUCACUGACAGCUCUUUCCCAGGAAAAACCCAGGGCUCAAAUAACCAAGGGAAAGGACAGGUCAUCUUCAUGGCAGGUUGACAGAGCUGGUUGCAGGCUGCCAUCAAAUAUCAGGCCUGGGAGUGUUGCUAAAAAUGACCCAGGGGCUACACCUGGCUCUGCUCAAUUUGCCCUGAGCCUCGCUGCCCUCACAUGCUCAGGACAACAGAAUAUCACCAACAGGUUUGUUUGGUUGUUGUUGUUGUUUUUUUUUUUUUCCGUUGUUCCAUUUCCUAGAAGAAAGGUUACCAACUGCCAGAAUCAAAAUAGAAUGUGGAUUGUGUCACAGGAAUCCUGUUUGAUCCAGGCACACUCAUAUUGUGCUAUGGCCUUGAGGGGAGAGAGCAGAUAAGCAGAAAUGCAGGGUUAUUAUCACAUUGUGGGAAGUGACAUCACAGAAGGCCCCUAGUCUGCCUCUCUCUCCAGACUAGUUAUUUUCUGUCAUGCUGCACACCAAGUGAAUCAUGUUUUCAGUGCCUCAGAGGGACACAGUUACUUAGGUGAGCCUGAUGCAGAAUCCUUCACAUAAAAAAAAGUCCUUUUGUUAAAGUGAGUGGUGGUCCCCAACUUUAUCCAUAUCCCAAGUUCAUGGUUUUACACAUUUUCUGUUCUUUUUUAAUCUUGGCUUAAAUUCUUUACUAUUUGUAGCGAUAUGAUAGAAUUUUCCAAGUGAUAGUGAAUUAUUCAUGGUCACUUUCCUGAACAGCAAACAAUUAAAUUGAAGAAUUCAGACCUUUGUAGAUUACCUUUCAUUAUAUGAUGAAUAUCAUCUUUUUUAUUUAUAAAAAGCAUAAUAUAAAAUGUACCAUCUUAACCGCUUUUAAGUGUUCAGUUCAGUGAUGCUAAGUGCAUUCACAUUAUGCAACAUACAUUGUGUUUUCUUGAAGCAGCUCUCUCCAGGAUGUCUUUAUCAGCAGUUAGAGACAUCCCCUUCCUGCCAAGUUUUUCUCCCAUGAUAUAAUACUUUAUUACUAUCCUUAAACUUACUUCUCAGAGAUUUCAAAGCUUUGGAAAGUAAAUCCAAACAAAAUCCAUGGGCAAUCCUUAAAAUGUAGAUGCACUAAGAGAAGGCUGUGAAGCUCAUUCAUCCUUUAUGUCACAACCCAAACUCAUUUGGGUAGAGAGCCCCUGGACCUGCAAUGGAGAGCUGGCCUUGGGACUGUCAGGUGAGGAUAAAGGUUAAGGCAUCCUCGCCUGAAGCCUCCGUUGGCUUCCCAACUCACUAGAGUGACUGGCAUAUGCCUCACCCAGCUCAUCCCCUCCCGGUCCCAUUCCUGCCCACUUCUCUGACCCCACUUCCUGCUGGCCUUCACACUGACCCUUAAAAAUGUUAAGCUCUCGGAUUCAUUUCCGCUGCACCACGACGGGAACUCCAAGAAUCAGUAUUUUUAAAACAAACAAAAAAUUCUCCAGGAAUUCCUAUAUAGCCACAUUUGAGAACAAGCGUCCUGGAUCAGCAGUUCUCACAAAUGUGGUUCCAGCUCAGAAAUAAUAGCAUCCCUGGGAACCUGUUAGAAAUGGAUGUUCUCAGUCCCCACCUAAAUUUCCUGAGUCAGAAGCUUUAAGAGCAGAGCCCAAGAGUGUGUAUUGUAACAAACUCCAGAUUCUGAAAUGCCUAAGCUUGACAACCAUCAUCCUACAUCCUUGGUGCCCAAGGUGUGGCUCGUGGCUCAGCAGCAUCAGCAUUACUUGGAAGCUUGUUAGAAAAGCAAAAUCUCUGACACCAGCUGGUAAAUCCAGUCAACAGGAUCAGAAUCCACACUUUAACAGUAUCACCGUGCCUCCUGCCAGUCAUGUCUGAGAAGCUCUCUGGCUCCCUCCCCUGAGAGCCUAAAAACAGCUACACGCUGAGCCCACCCAGCACCCAGAGCUUGGGCUCUAAAUGUCUUAACAUCAAAAGUAGCCAGGUUUGUUGGAGCAAAGGCUGAUUCCAGGACUGAUGCAAGCAAAGUGCAAGGUGAGCCUCAGACUUUUUGUGCCAGAAAGCAAGGAAGUGGGCUUGAAGAAAGAUGGGGACACAUCAAAAAGAUGGGGGCUAAGCUAAAGGAUUUCUCACUGGCCAUGUUGGAGGAACCUUGCAGUCAUGGAUUAUAACCCGCUGAAUGAAAUAAAAGCAAUGAGUUUGUAGUGCUGUAACAAAAUAAGUUUUGUAUAAAUAAAUGAGAGAGAAGGGAAAACUCUUCUUUGCAGCAGGAUGCCAGCUAAUAAACAUAGAAGGAAAGAUGGAGUAAGAAAAUCACCCAUGAAGGCUAAAACCCAUGGGUGAAACUUUGAGGAACAGAACAACUUACACUCUAAAAGUACCUCCCCACAAAUGAUUUAUUCAUUACAAAGGGGCAGUAGUACCUUGAUAGUGGAGAAAGUGGCAGAGAUCACCUUCACCCAGCAGCCAGAGUUGGCAUCACCCACCCUGGGACAGCCCAGUACCCCCUGCCUCCUGCUGUGACAUGCUGAGGAGGGCACAGUAUCCCUCCCAGGGCAUUCCUGCCACAGAAGCCCCCCUGAACUUGCUCCUCAGGAAGCAUCAGGAAUCCAAAUAGAGGAACAGUUCAAGGAGUAUCCGGCCUGCAUGCUCAGAAAAUGUCAAGGUCAAGAAAGACAAAGAAUGGCUAAGGAAAUGUUCUGGACUAAAGGAGACUAAAGAGAUGUAAGGACUAAUGCAGUGGGAGAUCCUGGACCUGGAAAUGUGUAUCACUUUAAAAGGUUAUUCCGGGAACUAUUGACAGAAUUUAAAUACAGACGCUGGUUUAGGAAAUAUUUUACAAAAUGCACACUGAAAUAUAGGGCGAUGCAGCAGUAUAUUUGCAUCAUGAAUUCUCAAAUGGUUCCAAAAACAUGUGUGUGGGAAGGUAUAGGGCUAUGUGUGUAACACGUAUGUAUGUUCCAUGUUAAUAGAGACAAGAAGGCAAAACUUUAACAAUUGGUGAAUCUAGAAGAUGAGAGUUCCUUGACUAUCUUGGAACUUUUCUAUAAGCUUAAAAUUUAUCAAAAUAGAAGCC
rnacentral:lncRNA from 1 species